CCUUACCAGGGCUUUGACAUAUACAGGAAUGUUGUAGAGAUACAGCAGCCGCUUGCGGUCUGUAUACUAGGUGCUGCAUGGCUGUCGUCAGCUCGUGCUGUGAAGUGUUGGGUUAAGUCCCGCAACGAGCGCAACCCUAUCAUCUGUUGCCAGCAUUUAAGGUGGGACUCAGAUGAGACUGCCGGUGACAAACCGGAGGAAGGUGGGGACGACGUCAAGUCAUCAUGGCCCUUAUGUCCUGGGCUACACACGUGCUACAAUGGCCGGUACAGAGUGAAGCGAAACCGCGAGGUGAAGCAAAACGCAGAAAGCCGGUCUCAGUACGGAUCGAAGUCUGCAACCCGACUUCGUGAAGCUGGAUUCGCUAGUAAUCGCGCAUCAGCCAUGGCGCGGUGAAUACGUUCCCGGGCCUU
rnacentral:rRNA from 1 species